AUACCUCAUCUAAGGCCUACUGAGUACAAAAAAUCAAGAUUAUCCAGGAACAGGAGAAUAGUGAACCGUCCUUAUCAUGGUGUUCUAUCUGGUCAGGCUGUUAGGGAGAGGAUCAUCCAUGCUUUCCUUGUCGAAGAGAAAAAGAUUGUGAAGAAAGUUUUGAAGAUCCAGAAGACCAAGGAGAAGCAACUAUCAGGUCAGAAAAUUACAGAGUGUGCUCUGUUUUAUGUGUGUAAUCCUGCCUACUGCACCUUUUUUGGGCAGCGGCAAGAUCCCAAUAUUGUGAUGCUGCUGCUACUGUAG
rnacentral:rRNA from 1 species